CCUACGGGUGGCAGCAGUGGGGAAUAUUGCACAAUGGGGGAAACCCUGAUGCAGCGACGCCGCGGGAGUGAAGAAGUAUUUCGGUAUGUAAAGCUCUAUCAGCAGGGAAGAAAAUGACGUUACCUGAUUAGGAAUCCCCGGCUAACUACGGGCCAGCAGCCGCGGUAUUACGGAGGGGGCAAGCGUUAUCCGGAUUUACUGGGUGUAAAGGGAGCGUAGAUGGCAGCGCAAGGCUGAAGUGAAAUGCCGGGGCUUAACCACGGAACUGCUUUGGACACUGGGAAGCUAGAGUGCAUGAGAGGUAAGUGGAAUUCCUAGUGUAGGGGUGAAAUGCGUAGAUAUUAGGAGGAACACCAGUGGCGAAGGCGGCUUACUGGACUGUAACUGACGUUGAGGCGCGAAAGCGUGGGGAGCAAACAGGAUUAGAUACCCUGGUAGUC
rnacentral:rRNA from 1 species